AAUUGAAGCAGAGAUUCAUGAUCCAAAUUCUUUUUUCCUAAUUAUAUGUUAUCUCUUCUUUCUUGCUUACUAGUGUCAGCUUCACUAUCCAUUCCUGCAUUUCUGUUUUUUUUCUCUUCUGGCAACUUUGGUAAAACUGACAACACCUCUGUAUCUUGUUACUAAAAUCAAGGAUGAUUCAUUUAAUAUUGUAAUAUUGUUAUAAUUGUCUAAUCAGACAGUGCAAAUUAGAUGCAUUAUAGCCCCUGAAAUGUUUCUGAUUAGCUGAAGAAGGGAAACUUUGGGUGACAAAGCUGCCCACAAUGUCAAUGUCUUGUACCAUUAUUUGCUAGCCUAUUCCCUCUAGAGGGCAGAAAUAAUAUUUUUCUUUCAACGUCCUAUUGGAAAGCUGCUACCAAAAGGUAUUGGACUGAUGAAGCUUAUAUAGCUAGUCCUCUAACAGGUGACACGUUUCAUUUGGUUUCCUUCUCAUUCAUGAACCAUGCAGCUGAAUAUCAAUGUGAC
ensembl:processed_transcript